GAUGAACGCUAGCGGAACGCCUAACACAUGCAAGUCGGUCUUGAUUUUUUCGAGAGGCAAACGGGUGCGUAACACGUGCUUAACCUGCCCUAGAGAGGGGAACAACUUCGGAAACGAAGCUAAUUCCGCAUACGCUCCGGUGAAUGAAAAACAACCGGAGGAAAGCUUUCGAGCACUCUAGGAGGGGGGCGCGGUCUAUUAGCUUGUUGGUGAGGUAACGGCUCACCAAGGCUACGAUGGAUAGCUGGUCUGAGAGGAUGAUCAGCCACAAUGGAACUGAGACACGGUCCAUACCCCUACGGGGGGCAGCAGUGGGGAAUAUUGCGCAAUGGGCGAAAGCCUGACGCAGCGAUUCCGCGUGGAGGACGACGCCUUACGGGGUGUAAACUCCUUUUCUGGAGGAAGACGAAUGACGGUACUUCAGGAAUAAGGGACGGCUAACUACG
rnacentral:rRNA from 1 species